rnacentral:snRNA from 1 species
CGGCCUGUGGGCUCCCCAUUCG